GAAGAAAAAGUGAGACAUUUCAAGGAAUUCAGCUAAUAAAGGUGGUGAAUCCUCCGAUAAAAACAAGAGAAUUGCACCUGAGGACCAGUAAUCUAAGUACUUCGAAAAUCCCCAUUCUAGACAUUGUUCAGAUUAGGCUGUAGAUAACUGAGUUCAUCGAGGACUACCCUUGGAUUUGCAUUCCUUCAAACUGUAGGUUCACAGUCCUCUUCACUUUUGAUUAUUU